rnacentral:lncRNA from 1 species
CUCUGGAGUAGCUGGGAUUACAGGCGCACGCCACCACACCCGGCUAAUUUUGUAUUUUUAGUAGAGAUGGGGUUUCCCCACGUUGGUUAGGCUGGUCUCCAACUCCCGACCUCAGGUGAUCUGCCUACCUUGGCCUCCCAAAGUGCUGGGAUUACAGGCGUGAGCAACUGCUCCUGGCCCAAAACAUCUCUUUCUACAUACACUUGAGUAGGUGGCAUAAAAUGCACUGUCAAUAUAUAGAAAACAUGAAAUUUUCCAAAUAUUUCCGAUCAGAGAAUCACAAGAGCAGCAAAUGUGGUUUCAUCAAGUGGGAAGAAAGCAGCAAUUUAAAAUAACUUUUUGGGAGACUGAAUUGAGUAAUAAUAAAACUUCAGUCUUUCGCUAAUAAUAAUAAUAAUAAUAAUAAUAACAACAACUUAUUGAAUGUGGCCAGCUCACUAGAUGAGGAAAGAGGAAGGCAUUUUCUGCAUUCUUGCCUAGUUUUCCUUAUAAGCACCACUAAGUUAAUAGCUCUGUCUUUUUGGUGUUUGCACUAUGUAAUGCUUUUAAUACUUUUUAAUUGUGCUUUUUUAUGUAUUAAAUGUUUUUCCUUUUGCCAUUGUGUGUUGUCAUUAUUUUUGAAAUAGGUAAUUUUGUGUGUAUACAGUUAAAUCUCAUUGCUAUUGGAUCUUUUGGUCUGAUAGACCAAAGAUACAACAGAAAAUUACUUCUGUUACUUCUUUGGGGAAAUUAAUGGACUUAAAAUCAGCAGCAUUGGAUAUUUUCCCCCAGUUACCUUUUAGAGCAAUUGCUAUAUUUUAUUUUCAGGGUCCCAAUCCUGAAGAAAUCCAUCAAAUUUUAC